rnacentral:lncRNA from 1 species
AUUCAUGUUGCAUAUAAAUAACCUACUUGCAUGCAUCAUGGAUUUUAUUUUCUGACUGGCAUUAUGAUCAUAGGAUAAUUCAGAGCAUGAUUAUCGUUUGUUAUUUUAUACCCGUGUUCAUAAUGUUUGCGAGUACAUUCAAAGUACUCACUGGCUUGUCCCUGGCUAUUGUCUUGGCCAGAUUUCUUGCAUGGAGAGGAGCGUUGCGAUGAUAGCUCUGAAAACUAAGCAACGGUGAUAGGAGCCUCGCGAAGAUAGGAGUUAACCUGGUUAGCUGUUCCUGUUGGGAAAUGGAGUCCCAUAGACACUGAUGAUCAACAAACCGCUUCCGCCAUCAACUACUAGAAACCACUUGUUGUACUCAUAGGCCAGAAUGGUCUUGUACUACAUAUUUUGUAUUUUGCUUGGAAUUUCUGUAUCAAGUUGGUGCCUCAUCAGCUAACAGUAAUCCUGGGGCUGGUGAGCACAAGGGCCAUUUUCUGGAAAUUAAUAUCCCGAAAAUCCGGUCCUGACAAUAGACGAGGCCCUGGCAGUAGCUCAGCAGAAGGUGGUGCUUGGCCUCCAGGCACCCCAUGCCCUCGCCCGUCGGCAGCUGGUUCUUCCUCACCUAUACCAAUACACAAGCAGUCAAGCACACAAGAAAACGAAUAGAAUACUUAGUUUUGUGGAUACUGCUACCCGUUGCUGAAAUGCUGCCUUAUUCUUACACAAGUGAACUUAUCAUAGAUCAUGAAGCAGGCGGAGCUGGAAUUUUGCUUUUUCGAUGGAACUAAUAGAACAAGCUAACAAUAUUAUAAACGUUUCUUCACGGCCACUGAUUACUUGCUCGUUGCACGGAGAUUUUAAUCAGUGUGACAACUAGUCACUAGAUACAAAACAAUUCAUAUAAACAGGGCAUACCAAGCAGCAUACCAAGUAGCAUACCAAGCAAAAAAACAAAUUUCAAACAAAAUUUGCUGCAAUCCUGAUGGUAGAAACAAGCUAGCUAGAUUAAACACCAACAGUUAACACAGCCUAGCUGUAAUAACUAACAAGGCCACUAUAAAUUAUUAACAUGCAUGAUCUGCAGUACUAGGAGACCGAGUCAAUGCACAUUACAGUAACUACAAAUGGGGUCUACUACAAGAGCACAAUUUAACAAGUGUUCUACUCCAAAUCAUCAUCACUUGUAAAUAGGAAUGAUCUUUUACAUGACACAAGCACGAAAAGUACAAACAAAAUCACCCAUGCACAUGAAACAAAGCAAGGUACUACUAUAGCAGCACAAGAGAGGGGGCUAGAAGAUAGGAGACGAACUUAGAUGAGAGGAGAUUGUAGUCGAUGCCGCACACGGCCACGGUCUUCGUCCCGCGGUAGAGGAGGUUGUAGCUGAGUUGGACCAUGUGCCGAGCGUCGUCGUGGCGGUGGAUGCCCUGGUUGUCGUCAUUGUCCACAGAGGAUUCCUACUGCUCCGAAUCAAACAAAGAAGUAAGAGUUAGUGUUGUUGAUCUAGUACAGAAAUUAAGCAAGCGAGUAUAGGAGACACACACACGUGCUACUGCUAGUAUCUACAGACAUCAAUCAAGUUGGCUGUGUGUGUGCGCUUGAGCUAGCUUAGUACGUACAGUCCAUGGUUGGGCUCCAAAACAAACAGAGCAUGCUAGUGUUAACAAAAUCAAGCCAGUAGAAUAGAAACAAACCAUACCAUGAUGAAGUUUAAAAUAGAAUAAACAAUGCAUAUACAUUUUCUAAUGGAAAACCACAAAAACAGUUGAUGAAAAUCUACAUCCGAAGUUCUAACAAUGCCAUGUCUACAACAAAACAAGACUAGGACGAUUGCUGUAAUUCUAAUGCAGCAAUAAAACAAACCUAACUACAUUGUUCAACAGCUUCGAAUAACAAAAAAUCUACCAUUUAUGAUUAAUUCAACAAAAAAACUAAAUAACAUAGGCCUUUUGGGACAAACAAAACUAAACAGCGAGCACAACAUGAUAUGGAUAUCUCAAAACAAAUUCUCCUCGGAAAAUACUUCGGAACACAUAUGGACAACAUACGAAACUGAUUUACAAUCUACAAUAAGAUAUACCAGUCUCAUCAAAUCAGGCUGCUAAAUCUCCCAACGCCACAUCAGUAACAGCCUCUAGAUCAUGAAUCAACGCAACACUACAUGAGUCGAGAGUUAAUCUAUCCGAGGAUAGGCAUGGAACCCAAUAGCAGUACACGCUACAACCGAUCAACCACAUGAAUCCCUAGGCAAAACACGCUACAACUCAUCAACCACAUGAAUCCCUACACAUCCCCUACUGUGAACUUUGUGACAUAUAGAGGCCACUGCCAGGGGACAUGAAAAGCAUAUAGUGUGAACUUUGUGCAUCUUAAUUUAGUAGCAGCAUAUAGUGUGGACUGUGUAGUCCAUAUCAUCUGCCACGUCUUCAGCUGAAAUGCAUAAACAGAGCUAGAGGAUGCAUUAGUUUAUUUUGUCAGUAAAUGUAUUAUGUGCUUUCAAGCUCAAAACAACAUCAUGGAACAUGUUUGACUCACCAGUUAUCUGGACUAUCACUCCAUUCACGCUACAGAGAUCGCUCGGACUGUCGAGUCUCCAUGAACUAGCUCACAGAGGGCUUCCACAAAGUCCUUGUAGAAUCCAACAAUACCUGCCAGCCACACAGAAACAUCAGAGCAACAUAAGCCCCUGAUUGAGCACUCGAACACAUUGAAAAACAGACAUGGCAUGUAGCAUGCCGGCGGUCACCUACCUGGAUUGCCAGGGACGACCAGCAGGAUCUUCUCCAUGGCUGGCCCCUUCCUUCACAAAACCAGAUUAUCAACUUCAUGAACCUGCAAAAAAACACACAAAGUAUGGCAUGCAGAUUUUAAUUCAACAUACAAGGCAUGUAAUCAAGUGGAUUCUAUUAUCUUGUAAAGCAACAUAUUAUUUUAUUAGUACAUGUCAGGAUGUAUACCAAAUGAUCACUCCGAUGAUACAACAUCCCACAUGGGUAAUUCAAAGAUGGAGGAAGCAAAAUGGAAGGGGAAAAACGAUCACCUUGGACUCCUCAAGCGUAAAUCAUCUACCAGCCCUGGCAUUCAUGUUGUACUUAAGAGUCUGGCAUUGCACAGUGGGGCGAAUAGAUCGAGAGUUUGACAUUUUUGGCAAGCCGUACAUGAAACAAGAAAAUGUAAGAUGAUGGUUCUGGAAAAAUAGUAAACUUGUAAC